UUUUCUCUCUCUCACGCCAACAUCUUGUGUUUUCUUAUUUAUGGUUUCUUUUCUCACCACCUAUCACAUACUUCUUACUUUAUUCCCUUUUAUUUCCUUAAAUUAUUUCUUCCACUCUAUUUCCAUCCAAUUUUUUGUCUGGUAUAUUUCUUCUCCCUUGUUGCCUUUCACUUUUCUCUGUGUUACCCACGGGUGUUUUCUCCUCAUCUCUUCGUUCUCAUGCACACCACAUUUGUGCCUAAUGUUUUGACUCUUUUCCAUCUUUUAUUCCUUUUCUCCAGUUGUCGGAUGCCCAUCUCCAUUCCACCUUUCCUUGCAUUUGUUUCUACCACGAGACUGGCAUGUUU